rnacentral:rRNA from 1 species
AUUGAACGCUGGCGGCAGGCCUAACACAUGCAAGUCGAACGAGUGGCGGACGGGUGAGUAGUGUCUGGGAAACUGCACGAUGGAGGGGGAUAACUAUUGGAACCGGUAGCUAAUACCGCAUACCAUCGGAUUUGCCCAGAUGGGAUUAGCUGGCAGGUGGGGUAACGGCUCACCUAGACGACGAUCCCUAGCUGGUCUGAGAGGCUGACCAGCAACGCUGGAACUGAGACACGGUCCAGACUCCGACGGGAGGAAGAAUUGGGGAAUAUUGCAAAAGGGGGGCAAGCCUGAUGCAGCCAUGCCGCGUGUAUGAAGAAGGCCUUCGGGUUGUAAAGUACUUUCAGCGAGGAGGCGUUACUCGCAGAAGAAGCACCGGCUAACUCCGUGCCAGCAGCCGCGGUAAUUC